GAUCCUGGCUCAGGAUGAACGCUAGCUACAGGCUUAACACAUGCAAGUCGCGGGGCAGCAUGAAGUCAGCUUGCUGACUUUGAUGGCGACCGGCGCACGGGUGAGUAACGCGUAUCCAACCUGCCUGUUACCACGGCACAGCCCGUCGAAAGGCGGAUUAAUGCCGUAUGUGGUUUUGAAAGGGCAUCUGAUCAUGACUAAAGGUUCAGCGGUAACGGAUGGGGAUGCGUCCG
rnacentral:rRNA from 1 species